UCUCCCUCUCCCCUCCCUCCCUUCUUCUACUCCAUCCAUGACGCCAGUUCAUUUGAAUGGCAAGAUUUUUCUGAGCUGGGAUAAGCGAGAUACAGGAAAUCACUAUUGAAAGACUUCUUUAUUCUUGGUGUCAUCAUCACCUUAGUAUGAGGGACAACCAGAGGGCCCAGUGACGAAAGAGGAGGCCUGGACCAGCCAGGAUGUCCAAGGACCCAGAGCAACUCUCAGAAAGAAGAGUCUAUGUCCCUGUACACAGAAUCUGGCUUGACUUUGCGACUUGCUUUCACCAAUCAAAUGCAGAAGAAGUGAAGUCUGGUCCUCAGGAGGUUUUGUACUCCUCUGCUGACUCUCCUGGGAUGCUAAAAACGCCAUGAGUCCUAGUUACGACUAACUUACAUGGCCUAGUCACCUCCAUUGUCCAAGCCAAUAGGUACCCAGCCAUCACACCUAGAGUGAGGCCAUUCCAAUCUCCAGCUGAUCUGCUGUGGAUGAGCAUGGCCAAGAUCAACUGAGCUUGGCUCAGAUGAGCAAGACUCCCUGGAUAACCUACAAUCUUGUGGAGAAAUGGAGGCACUCAUGGAUCAAGCAUUUUCCCAGGGCCACAUAGUUAAUGUAGCACUUAGAAGACUGGGUAUCUUUUUCAAUGCCACAUAGUAGCACAGCUAGGAGUUGAACCAGGCAGUCUGGUGCUACAGGCCAUACAUUUUGACAUGUGUUUUGUUGCCUCUUGACAAAGUCCAUGGACUGUGAUCCUGGGACCAACAGCAUCAGUAUCAACUGGGAACUUCUUAGAAAUUCAAAUUCUUGGGGCUAUUCCCCAAAUUUCUGAGUCAGAAGCUCUGGGGAUAGGGCCCAGCAAGCUAUGUGUUAACAGACUUUUUAGAUCAGGGGUUCCCCCCAACUCCCAGGCCAAGAACCAGUACCAGUCUGUGGCCUGUUAGGAACCAGGCUGCACAGCAGGAGGUGAGGGCAGGUGAGCAUUACUGCCUGAGCCCUGCCUCCUCCUAUCAGAUCAGUGGUGUCAUGGCAUUAGAUUCUCACAGGAUCAAGAACCAUAUUGUGAACUGCACACACAAGGGAUAUAGGCUGCAUGCUCCUUAUAAGCAUCUAAUGCCUGAUGACCUGAGCUAGAACAAUUUCAUCCUGAAACCACCUCCCCCUUCCCCCAACCCCGUCCGUGAAAAAAUUGUCUUCUAUGAAACUGGCCCCUGGUGCCAAAAAGGUUGGGGGUGGCUGUUUCAGAUUAUUCUUACUCAGGAUAAAAUUUGAGGACACCUGCCCUAGCUCCUUAAAUUUAAGCUAUAAUUCAUAAAUUGGGUUCUUACGGUGCAUUAGAAUAAUGCAUUGAAUAGGUGAUUUUUGGAUGACUCCUAUGUGCUAACUACCAUUGUACUUGUAGGUGUUACCAUGCAGAACAAAAGGUAAAGUAUUCCUUGGGAAAUAAACAGCCAAAUAAAGACUUAAAUACACACAAGAUCUCAGCUAUCACAUUCGAUAAUUUCCAGAAAGAAAAGAAGUGUGAUACCAGAGCACAUGACAAGAAGUGGGUUUGAGGGUGAGAGGUGGGGGUGGUGUCAUCAAAGUCUUUCUUAAGUGAAUGAUGAUGUAUAAGAAAAAGUUGAUGGUUCUGGACACUGGCUGCACAUUGCAGUCUCUUGGGGAGGCCUAAAAACCUUUAGGCCACAUCCCAGACCAAUUGAACCGGAGAGUUGGGUUUGGGGCGCAGGCAUCAGUAUUUAUUUAUUUAUUUAUUUAUUUAUUUAUUUGAGAUGGAGUCUCACUCUGUCACCAGGUUGGAGUGCAAUGGUGCAAUCUCGGUUCACUAUAACCUCUGCCUCUCAGGUUCAAGCGAUUUUCUUGCCUCAGCCUCCCCAGUAGCUGGGACUACAGGCGCCUGCCACCAUGCGCAGUUAAUUUUUGUAUUUUUAGUAUAGAUGGGGUUUCACCAUGUUGGCCAGGAUGGUCUCGAUCUCUUGACCUCGUGAUCCGCCCUCCUCGGCCUCCCAAAGUGCUGGGAUUACAGGCGUGAGCCGCUGCACCUGGCCAGCAUUUUUUUAAAUCACCUCAAGUGAUAUCAGUUUGCAGCCCAGGUUUAAGACUCCCUGAACUUAAGGCUAUAGGGGAGAUAUGCAGGCCUGAUGAAAGAGUGACAUGAAAGAAGUUAGUGUCAGAACAAAGUGUUUGAUAGCACAAAAAAGACCAAGAAGACAAAAGAUUUGUGUAUGUAUAAUGCACUUGUGUAAUAUAAUGUAUUUACUACAUGAGUGAAUAAAACAGAUUAGCUUUUAAUACAUGCUAUUAAAAGAUAAGCUACUAAUACAUGCAUUUAGAGAAGAAGAAAUGUUAGGAAAAUACUAGUGGAAAAUAGGAUGUGAAGAGAGGUGAGUUCCUUCCUGUAGAGGAGUUUGCCACUUAUGUAAAAAAACUAAUCAACAUUUAUGGAGUGACUACUAAGUGCUCUCUAGCAGAUGCCAUGAAGACAAUCCUUUUCUACUCUCAGUAGUCUCAGGUCUGCUGAGGUAAUGCUUCUAGGAAAAACGGUUUUGAUUUCAAUAUAAAAUCGUAACUUGAUUAUGGUUAUAUGCCCACCUAUAGAUGGAAGAUGGAAAAUCCUUGAAAAAUGUACUAGUGAACUGGUUCUGCUGAUAACUUAUUUUCAAUACUACUUAAGUAACUAUAUAAUUAGUGGAAAAAAGAAUAUUGUCUGAGACUAAAAUGUGAAAUAUUAAUUGCAUUUUUGGUCCCUAUUGAUAGCCGUCUCUGCAUCUACACUCUUGGUAAUUGAGACUUUGUGGCUGCUCGUUUGAAGAGAUAGAAUCUAAUUCCCUAGCCUUGUCUCUGGACUGGCCUUAUGAUUCUCUUUAACCAUAGAAUGUGGGAGAAGUGAUGAUGUGCCUAUUCUAAGUCUAGGCCUCAAGAAGUCUUGAAAGAUUCUGUUCCCUCUUGGUUAGUCCACUGGAGGAUGAGAGACCCACGGCCCAAUAACCUCCAUUGCCUCGGCCAACAGACAGUCAACUUCCAGUCUCACCAUUGCCUAGACUACCACAGGGACCACAGACACAUAACGGUGCCCAGCCAAGACAAGAAGAAACAUCCAGCUGAGUCCAGCCUAAAUUGCUGAUCUGCAGAAUUGAAAACUUGGGAGGAAGACAUACUAUACCACAUGGUCCUUUCCUUUUUCUGUGGAUGGCAAAAAGAUGCAUCACUUCCCGGAGCUUAUGAUAGAAGAUGCUCCUUCGCCAGUGUGAGACACUUAAAAGGACAAUGAUUUGUGCAGGGAACUAACCCUGUGUGCUACGUGUCCUUUUGCUCCAUUUUACUGAUGUGACAAUUGGAGCAGAAUAGUUUAUGUGGCAAAUUUUCCCAGCAUUUAUUUGCACUGCUUACUACAUUCACAUUCUAGUUUACAAAUCUUGACAAAGACAACUGAAUAGGUGUUUUGCAUGAAUGUACUUAUUUUGUAUUGAAGUAUGACACACAUGCAGAGAAGUGACAUUGUCAUAAGCAAAUGGCUUGAUGGCUUUUACAAACUGAAUGUAUGUAUAACCAACAUCGAGAACUAGAAGCAGCUUUUUCAGCCCCUCCUUCCUGAAACUUUUCCUCUCCUUCCACCUUGACCAAGUGUAAUCUCUCUCCUGACCUCUGGCAGAAUAGGUUAGUUUUGCUUAUUUUUAUUUUUAUAUGAGGUGAAUCUCUAGUGUCUGGGUUCUUUUCCUGAAAGCUGUGUUUAUGGAAUUCAUCCAUAUCAUUGUAUGUGGUUAUAGAUUCUCAUUGCUGUGUAGUAGUUCAAUGGCAUGAAUAUACACUAAUCAUUUAUCCGUUCCACUGUUGAUGUGCAAUUGGAGAAUUUCCAAUUUAGAGCUAUUAUGAAUAAUGCUGCUAGAGCCAUUCUAAUGCAUAUCUUCCAGUGAACACAUAUACGCAGUUCUCUUGGGAAUAUUCCUAAGUGUGGAAUUGCUGGGUCGUAGAUGUACAUUUUUAAAAAUCAUAAUAUUAGAGUCGAGUAUGCAGAAUUGACUGAAUUCUAAAACCAAAAGCUAAUUUUUUGAAGUGUGAAUUUCUGUUUGGGGAAAGUGAAUAAUGUGAAGAAACAUAACAUUUUUAUUUAUGGAAAUAAAUUUCAUGUCCUCUGAGCUAACAUCGCCCGUUCUUACGUCUGAAUGGCAGGAUGUUGAGUGUGCUGACGCGGUCAUUUUCUGCGGGGCUGCUCCCAGCUUAGCAUUCUUGCCACAUAAACUCUUCUAGCCCAAACCUUGAAAUACUGCAGGAAGUGGCAUCAGCCCUUUUGUGUUCUUUUCCGGCACCAGGUUGCUCAUCUCUCCCUGUGCCCAUUUGAGGUAAUAUACUGACAGUUGUCAAGAUGAGUCAUGGCUCUUUCUCAGACACACAGGGAGACCAAGUUUGUGACUAAUCGACAAAUCCUCUGGACACAGGCUGAGCCACCAAGAGCCACCCUCGUCCCGGCAAGUUCAGGCCUGGGCUGCAACCUCUGACAGCCAGAGGGGAAAGCAAACAUUGGCAGAACAGUUCUGUUUAUUUGCUUCUCUGAUUUUGAAGACAUGCAGCUUUCUCUCACUCUUCUCCAUUUCCUCUAAAAAAUUUUAUUAAUCUUAGCUUAUUUAUGGCCUUUAGCGUUUGUCUGCCUGUUCAUGCAUGUGCUCAGAAU
rnacentral:lncRNA from 1 species